rnacentral:misc_RNA from 1 species
AACUGAUACUACCUGCGGGAACCUGCGGAGGGAUCAUUAAUGAGAAACUGCCCCUCGCGGGUAGAUCUCCCACCCUUUGUAAACUUACCUUUGUUGCUUUGGCAGGCCCGUCCCCGGACCGCCGGCUUCGGCUGGCCAGUGCCUGCCAGAGGAUUCUAAAACUCUGUCUGUCAGUGUUGUCUGAGUCUAUAUACAAUCGUUAAAACUUUUAGCAAUGGAUCUCUAGAUCGGAAGAGCACA